rnacentral:lncRNA from 1 species
UAUGAGCAUUAUGGUGUGAUUAUCAGUGUUACAUGUUAAUAGCAUGUGAGAAGCUAACAUUUGAUGGGCAUUUGCUAUGUGCCAGGAACUGACCUAAGCUAAAUCCCACAAUGAUCCUAUGAGGAGGCUGGAUGGGGACACAUACCAUGAGUGACAUCUUACCAGAGGGUGGCCAUGAACUUCAUCAUGUUCCACAACUGUUAAUGACCACUGGCGCUGGCCCUGCUGCUCUCUGAACUCCUCUCUAUGGAACUGUGCCCCUUCUCUGGGAAGAGUCCUUGAAGCUCUACUGAGAAUGAAACCUCUUCUUUCAGCUCAUGUCAAUCUUGGUAUUUUCCCAACAUGUUCAGAUUCUGGCUUGGAGGUGCUAUCUGUUGUUGACUUUGGACAUAAACGAAGCUGUUAUUUGCCUCUUUUGGUUUGUUAUGUUGACAAGCUUUUGGGAUUUGUUCUUUAAGAUUCCCCACCCCUAUUGUAUGAUGAUAGGUGCUGGAACCAGACUGGUUGGGUUCAAAUUUUUGCUGUCGCUAACUUGCUUUGUGAACACAUGUCAGUUACUGAAUCUCCCCGUGCCUCAGUUUUUUAAAUAUGUAAACAGGGAGUUCUCGUAGUACCCGUGGGUCUUAGUCAGUUAUUGCUAUAGAACCAACCACCCCCAGACUUAGUAACAUCAACAACAACUAUUGUUUUUUUCAUUCAUGCAUCUGGAGGGAGGCUGGGGAGGAGGAGGCUUGGGUUUGGCUUAUCUAGGUGGGGCUUGCUAGGCUUGGCUCUGAGCUGUGGAUUAAACACAGGUCUUCUCCAUUUGUCUUUCAUCUUCUUUGGGCCACCGGCUACAUAAGGCAUGUUCUGAUGGCAAAGAGGAGAAUUAAAGGAGAAGUCCUAUUGGCCAAAGCUGGUCAAUGGGAGAGAGAAGGGUACGCCCCUAGGGAGAGACAGAGGGGAGUGAAUUUUUGUUGAACAAUUAUCCUAACUAUCACACUGUUGUGAUAGUUAAAUGAUUUAAUAACUUUAACAGGCUAAUAACA